rnacentral:rRNA from 1 species
AACGAACGCUGGCGGCAUGCCUAACACAUGCAAGUCAAACGAGACCUUCGGGUCUAGUGGCGCACGGGUGCGUAACGCGUGGGAACCUGCCCUUAGGUUCGGAAUAACUCCCCGAAAGGGGUGCUAAUACCGGAUAAUGUCUUCGGACCAAAGAUUUAUCGCCUUUGGAUGGGCCCGCGUUGGAUUAGCUAGUUGGUAGGGUAAAAGCCUACCAAGGCGACGAUCCAUAGCUGGUCUGAGAGGAUGAUCAGCCACACUGGGACUGAGACACGGCCCAGACUCCUACGGGAGGCAGCAGUGGGGAAUAUUGGACAAUGGGCGAAAGCCUGAUCCAGCAAUGCCGCGUGAGUGAUGAAGGCCUUAGGGUUGUAAAGCUCUUUUACCCGGGAUGAUAAUGACAGUACCGGGAGAAUAAUCUCCGGCUAACUCCGUG